GUCCACGCCCUAAACGAUGUUUACUUGCUGUUGGUUUCGGACUGAGUGGCGAAGCGAAAGCGCUAAGUAAACCACCUGGGGAGUACGCCCGCAAGGGUGAAACUCAAAGGAAUUGACGGGGUCGCACAAGCGGUGGAGCAUGUGGUUUAAUUCGAUGAUACGCGAGGAACCUUACCUAGGUUAGAAUGUGAGAGACCGGUGGUGAAAGCCACUUUUCCAGCAAUGGACUCAAACAAGGUGCUGCAUGGCUGUCGU
rnacentral:rRNA from 1 species